rnacentral:rRNA from 1 species
AGUGAACGCUGGCGGUAGGCCUAACACAUGCAAGUCGAACGGCAGCACAGGAGAGCUUGCUCUCUGGGUGGCGAGUGGCGGACGGGUGAGGAAUACAUCGGAAUCUACCUUGUAGUGGGGGAUAACGUAGGGAAACUUACGCUAAUACCGCAUACGACCUUCGGGUGAAAGUGGGGGACCGCAAGGCCUCACGCGAUUAGAUGAGCCGAUGUCGGAUUAGCUAGUUGGCGGGGAAAAAGCCCACCAAGGCGACGAUCCGUAGCUGGUCUGAGAGGAUGAUCAGCCACACUGGAACUGAGACACGGUCCAGACUCCUACGGGAGGCAGCAGUGGGGAAUAUUGGACAAUGGGCGCAAGCCUGAUCCAGCCAUACCGCGUGGGUGAAGAAGGCCUUCGGGUUGUAAAGCCCUUUUGUUGGGAAAGAAAUCUUGCCGGUUAAUACCUGGCGAGGAUGACGGUACCCAAAGAAUAAGCACCGGCUAACUUCGUGCCAGCCGCCGCCGUAACAC